rnacentral:ncRNA from 2 species
GGUCAUGAGUGACAGCGCGAAGCCCCAGCUGGCUGUCCGGCAACCCUCCGUCCGUGGCGGGGUGCCCUGGGUGAGGACCGGGUCGUCACGGCAAGCCGUCCGUGCGACAAGCGCGGACG